rnacentral:sRNA from 1 species
CCGAGAAUGGGCCUUACGCGCCCGCAGCU